CCAGAUCACGUUGAUCACCGAAGUUAAGCAACGUCCAGUCUAUUCAGUACCUAGAUGGGUGACCGUUUGGGAAUACCAGGUGCUGUAAG